rnacentral:rRNA from 1 species
UACGUAGGGGCCGAGCGUUGUCCGGAGUUAUUGGGCGUAAAGCGCGCGCAGGCGGCCUCGCGCGCCCGACGUGAAAGCCCCCGGCUUAACCGGGGAGGGUCGUUGGGGACGGCGGGGCUUGAGGGCGGGAGAGGUCGGUGGAAUUCCCGGUGUAGUGGUGAAAUGCGUAGAGAUCGGGAGGAACAUCAGUGGCGAAGGCGGCCAUCUGGGACAACACUGACGCUGAAGCACGAAAGCGUGGGGAGCAAACAGG